rnacentral:rRNA from 1 species
AUUGAACGCUGGCGGCAGGCCUAAUACAUGCAAGUCGAACGGUAACAUAAGAAAGCUUGCUUUCUUGAUGACGAGUGGCGGACGGGUGAGUAAUAUUUGGGAAGCUACCUGAUAGAGGGGGACAACAGUUGGAAACGACUGCUAAUACCGCAUAAAGCCUGAGGGUGAAAGCAGCAAUGCGCUAUCAGAUGCGCCCAAAUGGGAUUAGCUAGUAGGUGAGGUAAAGGCUCCCCUAGGCGACGAUCUCUAGCUGGUCUGAGAGGAUGAUCAGCCACAUUGGGACUGAGACACGGCCCAGACUCCUACGGGAGGCAGCAGUAGGGAAUAUUGCACAAUGGGGGAAACCCUGAUGCAGCCAUGCCGCGUGUGUGAAGAAGGCCUUCGGGUUGUAAAGCACUUUCGGAGGGGAGGAACAAAUGACGUUACCCUCAGAAGAAGCACCGGCUAACUCCGUGCCAGCCGCCGCCGUAA